CUGGUGAUUAGAAUCAUUACCUUCAGGCUUUUUGCUGUAAACACUGUCCUUUCAGAGAAAAUGCAGUGUUUACAUUACAGCCUAGUGAUAACUUCACUGGCCACUCCUCUGAUGGCUGUUAGAGAUCCUUCCUGGGUCAUGGCUGCCUAAAAUGCAUCCAAACAUUCAGUAUCUCCACCCUCUGCAUGCAGACACUGAACUUUCC
rnacentral:lncRNA from 1 species